GCUCGAUAGCUCAGCUGGUAGAGCAUCUGCCAGGUGAGCGGAGGGUUGCUGGUUCGAUUCCUGCUCGCGGCA
rnacentral:tRNA from 1 species